AGGAAACUUAUCGCCACAACUAUAGCGAAAAUGCGUUGUUGUAGUGUAGAUGUAUGUAGAGGGGGGGUUGACACGAUCAAAGUACUUUGAUCUAAGUAAGCGCGCAAUCAAAGUAAGUCAUAAAAGUAAAGUUGAUCAAAGUAAGCGCGCGCAUUCACCAGUAGGGAAAUAUUUUUAGGGAAAUGUGACGAUUUAGAAGAAGAUGUUUUUGUUUACAGGGAAUAUGUUUAUUUUGAACCUUUCUUUCAAGAAAUCUAGACGUACUGUACUAAUAGGAUUUGAAAACUUCUCUAUAUUAUCGGGUUGGCAGAAUUUAUUCUUCGUCUCCUCUUCUGCAUUUAAAAUAACCUGCAUUAUAUCACAGCCGGAAAUAAUUACAAGCUUUCAUUUUCUAAAAACCAUAAACAGAAGUAAAAAGAGCAGUAGUGAAAGUGUUCAGAGAAAAAUGUUUUGACCUUAGGGAGCUUUCAUAAUCAUUUAUAACUUUUUAUCUUAAUUUACUUAAUUACCUUGAUUAAUCUUAAUCUUAUCAGGACUUUUAUAAUCUUAAUUAUGUAUUAGUUAUUUUUGUUCUAAAAAUUUUUGGGGGUUAUUGUGGUAGCAAUUUUUAAAAAAAAAAAUUCUUGUACUGGAUCUUUCAUUGGGUUAAUAACAUUUUACUAUGGCCUAUUCAAAAUUGUUAUACAAAAGUUUUUAACUAUAUUUUCUAAACAUUAAAUCUGAGGAAAUUUGCUAUUAUAUAUUCUUUGUAGAUUAAAAUUCAAAUUAUAUUUUUAUUAUUAAACAGUUCAAGAUUCUUUCUUUAAAUGUAAACUUCUUCUAAUUGUUUUAUAUUGUAAAAUUUUAAUGUUGGUACUGCAUAAUGUAUAUGCAUGUUACAUAAAAUAUUUAUAAAUCUUUGGGACAGUUUUCUUCAAUCUUUUUGUUCUUAUUCUCUUCUUUUUAAGUACUAGAAAUUAGUCAAAAUUGUUUAUGGCUGAGAGCUUAUAAAUUUCUUCAUUCAUAGUUUCAGUGUAUUCCAUUAAAAUUAUUUCCUUAAACUAAUAUGUUUAAUUUACUAUAAAAAUUAUUUCAUUCAAUUUAAUAUAUUGUUCUUUCCCAUUUCAAUUGAUUUGUAAUCCAAUGAUGUUUUUACCAAUAAAAUUUUUUAAACUAA